rnacentral:lncRNA from 1 species
CUCCUGGAGGCGGCGGGAUGGAGGCGGCGGCCGAGCCUGGAAACCUGGCCGGCGUCAGGCACAUCAUCCUGGUCCUCUCAGGAAAGGGGGGCGUUGGGAAAAGCACCAUCUCCACGGAGCUGGCCCUGGCACUGCGCCAUGCAGGCAAGAAGCGCUGAUAAAGCAGUUUGUGUCCGACGUGGCCUGGGGGGAGCUGGACUACCUGGUGGUGGACACGCCCCCGGGGACCUCCGAUGAGCACAUGGCCACCAUAGAAGCCCUGCGUCCCUACCAGCCCCUGGGGGCCCUCGUGGUCACCACGCCCCAGGCGGUGUCCGUGGGGGACGUGAGGCGCGAGCUGACCUUCUGUAGGAAGACGGGCUUGCGGGUGAUGGGAAUCGUGGAGAAUAUGAGCGGCUUCACCUGCCCACACUGCACGGUGAGUCCCGGGGGUUGCAGAGGGGGCGAGGCAGCACCUGGCCGGUGGGGGCUUUGGGCAGUGCUGGGCUCACCACCGUCUCCUAGGAGUGCACCAGCGUCUUCUCCAGGGGCGGCGGAGAGGAGCUGGCCCAGCUCGCCGGGGUGCCCUUCUUAGGCUCCGUGCCCCUGGACCCUGCGCUCAUGAGGACCCUGGAGGAGGGCCACGACUUCAUCCAGGAGUUCCCUGGGAGCCCCGCCUUCGCUGCACUCACCUCCAUAGCCCAGAAGAUUCUGGACGCGACGCCCGCGUGCCUCCCCUGACUAAGGCCACCUUGCAGCCGCUUUCCAGGGCCACCAAGGGCUCUGCUCCAGCCUCUCAGAGAAACAGAGGCCUGGGCUCGGUUCCCGGGCCCUGCAGGGGCAGGCCCAGGCAGCGUCAGCCGGAGAGCUUCUCCCCGACCAGCCCAGCCCCAGGAUGUGUCGCACCAGCAGCUCUGCCUGGUUGGCCUGCAGUGCCGUGGUCUGCGUGCUCUGCAGCUGUGAGACGGGGGCGGCCUGGGCUCUCUUCCCAUCCAUGUUGCCUACCUGUGCCCCUGGCAGCCGCGUGUCCACACAGUUAGCGGAGCGCGGGACUUCUGCAGUCCUCAGGUGACCCCGGGCCUCCAGCACCCUGGGUCGCUGUCAUCUGUGUUUAGCUCGGGGAGUGCCCCCUAAGGGGGCGAACUGACCUCAGGCAUGUUUUGUAACUGUAGAGGCGCCUGCCAUUAAACGUGUCCGCUGCUGUGGCGACAG